GCCAGUAGCAAUAGCACGUUCAAUGCACCAGUUCCUUAAGUAUCACUGAAGUUAAGCAACGUUGCACGUGGUUAGUAUCUGGAUAGGUGACCAUCUGGGCAAUCGUGUGCUGCUGGUU
rnacentral:rRNA from 1 species